rnacentral:rRNA from 1 species
AUUGAACGCUGGCGGCAGGCCUAACACAUGCAAGUCGAGCGGAUGAAGGGAGCUUGCUCCUGAAUUCAGCGGCGGACGGGUGAGUAAUGCCUAGGAAUCUGCCUGGUAGUGGGGGAUAACGUCCGGAAACGGGCGCUAAUACCGCAUACGUCCUGAGGGAGAAAGUGGGGGAUCUUCGGACCUCACGCUAUCAGAUGAGCCUAGGUCGGAUUAGCUAGUUGGUGGGGUAAAGGCCUACCAAGGCGACGAUCCGUAACUGGUCUGAGAGGAUGAUCAGUCACACUGGAACUGAGACACGGUCCAGACUCCUACGGGAGGCAGCAGUGGGGAAUAUUGGACAAUGGGCGAAAGCCUGAUCCAGCCAUGCCGCGUGUGUGAAGAAGGUCUUCGGAUUGUAUAGCACUUUAAGUUGGGAGGAAGGGCAGUAAGUUAAUACCUUGCUGUUUUGACGUUACCAACAGAAUAAGCACCGGCUAACUUCGUG